GCAUAUCAAUAAGCGGAGGAAAAGAAACCAACAGGGAUUGCCCUAGUAACGGCGAGUGAAGCGGCAACAGCUCAAAUUUGAAAUCUGGUCCCCCCGCGGGGGCCCGAGUUGUAAUUUGAAGAGGAUGCUUUUGGCGAGGCGCCUUCCGAGUGCCCUGGAACGGGACGCCACAGAGGGUGAGAGCCCCGUAUGGUUGGACGCCGAGCCUCUGUAAAGCUCCUUCGACGAGUCGAGUAGUUUGGGAAUGCUGCUCAAAAUGGGAGGUAAACCCCUUCUAAAGCUAAAUACUGGCCAGAGACCGAUAGCGCACAAGUAGAGUGAUCGAAAGAUGAAAAGCACUUUGAAAAGAGAGUUAAACAGCACGUGAAAUUGUUGAAAGGGAAGCGCUUGCGACCAGACUCGCGCCCGCCGGAUCAGCCGUCGCUCGUCGGCGGCGCACUCCGGCGGGCUCGGGCCAGCAUCGGUUCGCCCGGGGGGAGAAAGGCGGCGGGAACGUGGCUCUGCGGAGUGUUAUAGCCCGCCGCGUAAUACCCUAGGGCGGACCGAGGACCGCGCGUAUGCAAGGAUGCUGGCGUAAUGGUCGUCAGCGACCCGUCUUGAAACACGGACCAAGGAGUCGUCCUAGUAUGCGAGUGUUCGGGUGUCAAACCCCUGCGCGUAAUGAAAGUGAACGGAGGUGAGAGCUUCGGCGCAUCAUCGACCGAUCCUGAUGUUCUCGGAUGGAUUUGAGUAAGAGCAUACUGGGCCGGACCCGAAAGAAGGUGAACUAUGCCUGUAUAGGGUAAAGCCAGAGGAAACUCUGGUGGAGGCUCGCAGCGGUUCUGACGUGCAAAUCGAUCGUCAAAUAUGGGCAUGGGGGCGAAAGACUAAUCGAACCUUCUAGUAGCUGGUUUCCGCCGAAGUU
rnacentral:rRNA from 1 species